rnacentral:rRNA from 1 species
UGCCAGCAGCCGCGGUAAUACGGAGGGGGUUAGCGUUGUUCGGAAUUACUGGGCGUAAAGCGCACGUAGGCGGAUCAGAAAGUUAGGGGUGAAAUCCCGGGGCUCAACCCUGGAACUGCCUCCAAAACUCCCAGUCUUGAGUUCGAGAGAGGUGAGUGGAACUCCGAGUGUAGAGGUGAAAUUCGUAGAUAUUCGGAAGAACACCAGUGGCGAAGGCGGCUCACUGGCUCGGUACUGACGCUGAGAUGCGAAAGCGUGGGGAGCAAACAGGAUUAGAUA